rnacentral:rRNA from 1 species
AGUGAACGCUGGCGGUAGGCCUAACACAUGCAGGUAGAACGGCAGCACAGUAAAAGCUUGCUCUUACGGGUGGCGAGUGGCGGACGGGUGAGGAAUACAUCGGAAUCUACUUUUUCGUGGGGGAUAACGUAGGGAAACUUACGCUAAUACCUCAUACGACCUACGGGUGAAAGCAGGGGAUCUUCGGACCUUGCGCGAUUGAAUGAGCCGAUGUCGGAUUAGCUAGUUGGCGGGGUAAAGGCCCACCAAGGCGACGAUCCGUAGCUGGUCUGCGAGGAUGAUCAGCCACACUGGAACUGAGACACGGUCCAGACUCCUACGGGAGGCAGCAGUGGGGAAUAUUGGACAAUGGGCGCAAGCCUGAUCCAGCCAUACCGCGUGGGUGAAGAAGGCCUUCGGGUUGUAAAGCCCUUUUGUUGGGAAAGAAAAGCAGCAGGUUAAUACCCCGCUGUUCUGACGGUACCCAAAGAAUAAGCACCGGCUAACUUCGUG